GUAUAUGUUGACUUCCAUAGAAUCUCAUUCGGGUGAUGAUCACUGUUGAGACUUGGGGAAAAAGAUAAAA